GCAGCCACCUUUUAAAACGCGUCAAAGCGUAACCUUAACCCCCCCCAAAUUCCAUUAAUUUUCAUGAACCCCUAAUUUAUAAUGAAUGACUCCAUAUUUAUAUGGAAGACACCAUGCUAGGAUUAGUAACAAGAAUUUAUAAUUCUCCAAAAUGCAAAUAUAAACCAACAUGGAUGGACCAUUGGUAGUUACCGAACCUAAAUUUUAUGCAAUAACACCCACAAGAAAACUCUGCAUUACUUACUCGUUAACCUAACACCAGCGCAUUACAGGAAAGAUUAAAAAAAAGAGAAGGAAUUCGGCAAAUGACGGCCCCGCCUGUUUACCAAAAACAUCGCCUCUUGACUUAUAAUAAGAGGUCCAGCCUGCCCAGUGAAUUUUAAACGGCCGCGGUAUCCUAACCGCGCGAAGGUAGCAUAAUCACUUGUUCUUUAAAUGGGGACUCGUAUCAACGGCAUCACGAGGGUUUUACUGUCUCCUCUUUUUGAUCAGUGAAAUUGAUCUUCCCGUGAAGAAGCGGGAAUAAAUUUAUAAGACGAGAAGACCCCAUGGAGCUUUAAACCAAGUAACAACUUAACCACUUAUCCCAUAAUAAAUUUAAACCCUGUUAUAAGGUUUUUGGUUGGGGUGACCGCGGAGUAAAGCACAUCCUCCACGACGGAAAGAACAAAAUCUUUAUUUAAGAACCACACUUCUAGAAAUUAGUAUACUAACGUUUACUGACCCGACAAUCGAUCAACGGACCAAGUUACCCUGGGGAUAACAGCGCAAUCUACUUCAAGAGCCCAUAUCGACAAGUAGGCUUACGACCUCGAUGUUGGAUCAGGGUAUCCCGGUGGUGCAGCCGCUACCGAAGGUUCGUUUGUUCAACGAUUAAAACCCUACGUGAUC
rnacentral:rRNA from 1 species